rnacentral:lncRNA from 1 species
UUCCCAGACCUGAAAAACGAAGAGUUCUCUGUCGGCAGCCCGCCAACCCGAUCAGACACUCCCGUGGAGUUUACCGGCAGGCUCUUGAGGUUCUCGAAGCUGCACAGCCUCACCACCUCCUCCACCACUCCAGCACUCUCCUCCUUCUCAGUGAAUGGAACACCAAGAAACUCAGCGAGUAUCUUCACAUGCUCAGCAGGGUUAGCCAUCAUCUCAUCGUACUUCAAGAAAAGAACUCUUCCCGGCUCUUCCAUGCUUUGCUUCCAAUACCCAAGGCAAUGCUCCCAGAAAGGCCCACCGAUAGAGAACCCUUCGCAAAAGAACUCGAAAGCCUUACCCAAAUCUAUGUGGAAAUCCUUGUGCACCUUGUUCGUGAAAAAGUGCCACGUGGACACAAGGACGUCCUUGGGCUCCCGGCACAGGUACACGAUCCGGCAACCAAGGGUUGAUGCGCCUGAGGGUAGCGAUGUGCACGAGAGGUGCGUGCUAAGGAGUCUCGGGGACGGGAGCGCCUCAAGCUCUUUGAUAGGGCGGAGCACCAGGAAUGGCACGAGAUCCUGAGGGUUGCUGGUGAGCACGGGGUGGGCAUGGCUAGCGACCGGGUGCCGGGAGCGGUUGGCAACUGUGAACGCGAGGGCCUUCAGCCAGGUGGUGCCGCACUUUGGGUAUGUGGCGAGGAAGAUGUCGUCGGCGCGUGGCCGGAACUGGGCUUGCAUGAGCACGGUGCUCCUGAUCACUUCGGGCGUGAGCCAGAAGCCUUGGAAGAGGAAGAACGGUUUCCACCAUCCUUCUCUGGUCGGAAGCCUGGAUGUGAGGCUCUCUCCCUCCUCUGGACCGCCAUGGCUGGUCUCAAUUUUGGCUUGAGCCAUGGCAUGAAGAGGGGGACGGUGGGAGUCUCGGAGAGCUUAGCUCCAAGUGAUUAUAUAUAGGACAUUGAUAUAGUAGUAGAAGAUAGGCCAACUAAUCCAAUUUCAUUAUUACAAGCACCAGGACUGAUUGCCGGCAUCAAUCAUGCAUGAAUGAUUGUGGUACCGAUUAUCAUUACUAUUUUUAUUGCAAUAUAUAUUUUUGAAAUGUACCAAUACUUUACUACUGUAAGAUACUUUUUGAGACAAAGAUACUCGCAUCAUUUUAAUGUAUUCGAAAUGAAUGUAUCAGAAGAAUUUUUUUAUCAAAGAUUUUGACCGAUGACUUGCAGUUUCACUCAAAAUAUGACUUCUCUGUGGAUUUAAAGAAUAAUAUUCAACAAUAUAAUCUUGUCGGUGGCCGUGGGCUUUCAUUCACCGUAUUCUCAUAUUUUAUUCUUUAUUUUUAUAUGCGUGCACAUGGCUAUUCAUCUUCACGCCUUACGUUCUUAUCUUGUAGGACUAUUCGUUGUUCUUAUCUCGACUACGACGCAGUCGUGGCUGUUAAUUUUUUUAUAUAGGCAUGCCCUAUCAAGGGCCACCUCUGGUGAUCAACAAAUCCCAAUUGCAACAACAAGAUAAUAGAAUAUAAGAGCACUCCCGAACUGAGAAUCGUAACCUUGUAGGUAUUAAACAAGAACAAGGCAACGUGCAAAAAAAAAAGAGUAGUGAGAUGAGAAGGGUACUCCCGUAGUUGUUGGCCCAGUUCUGGUGGCUGUCCUGCCAGUGCAGGAGGCCGGGAGCCGGGGCUUUGCCGAGGAUCCUGUUGGCGAGAGGUGCAACGGCGGCGGCGAGGGCGUGGGGAGUAUGGCAAAUCGCGAUCUCCCUUCGCGGACGGCUCGGAGGAGCGCCAGAGCCUAAGCGGUUUCUGUUUGACCAGGUUGUGGGCCUUUGGAAUGGAUAAUUUUGUAAUCUCGCACUUUUACUUUGCCGCCCUUUCUUCAAUCGGUGAUCAAAAAAAUUAAAACAUGCCGUCCUUGGCCAGUCGACCGGUACCAUUGAGGCGAUAAAGGAUUCGGCAUUAUUGCGGCGCUGCAGCAUUCAGCUAGCAUCGUGUACUGUCUCGUGCUGCAUGUGUGUGAUAGCUUUACUAAUUCUAUUCUGCGAGCAGCUAAUCUGAUCAAGCAAUUCGCGGUCAAUUUAAUUACCAAUCCUAGUCAUCAAUUACUAAUUCCAAAGGAAAAAAAUUAAAAGGCCACAAAGCAAGAACGGAACUAACCUUUCUAACCAGAGUAAGACUAUUUACAUGCACUAUUGCACUAGUACCCUCAAGAUUAAUUAUAGGUCUAGUUUUUUUUCAAAUAUCACAUAUCUCAUCAAUAUCCACUGAUAAUGACCAAUUUAUUGGUGAUAGAUUUUAUCCCCACACCCUAUAUUAUCUAAUUGAGAGUAUGUAAUAUUUUUCCUCUAUUGCUUAAAUUUUCAUUAUUGAUUAAAAAGGCUCUUCUAUGUAUUUACCCGUGUGAUAAUAGGAAAUGGUAACAGACCUUUAUAUAUGGAUGAAACAUUGACAUUAUAUAUUUCUUUUGUAACACUUUCGUUGUAAUAUUACUUUGUGUUACUAUAGAAUAUGUAUUUGUAACGCAUUUCAAGUGUUCUGAUUAUGUGUUACAACAUACUACCUUUUUUAACAUUUUCACUGUAACAUCAAUUUUGUGUUACUAUAACUGUUGUCUGUAACACAUUUUUCAAAACAAGCGGUAUGUGUUACUGCCCUCAUUUGUAACACUUAGCCUUGUGUUACUAUUAAACUUCUUUGUAACACAUCCAUGAACAUGUUACAGGAGUGUGUUACAAUAUCUAUGUUUUGUAGUAGUGAAACAGUUUUAGAACAUCCACGGGUAGUUCGCAAAAUAUUUUAAUUUGUCAGUUUUCAUAUUUAAAAAUAAGGCAAGUUCUAUCUCUAUUAAAAUUUAUAAAAUGUCUAGAAACCUUUUAGAACUAUUAUAUAUGGAAGUUGUGCCAUUAUAAUAUCUUUAUCUGUGAGGCAUAAGUGAAAAACAUCAUAGUAGUGUAUAUUCCAUUUCUGUAUACUUACCGAAAUUAGUAGGGAAAGUUGAACCUAGGUCCGCUGGAUGCUACUCAUGACCAAAUGCAAAAUCAUUUUUUUCUUAUGAUUUGGAUUUUCCAAAUGCAAAAUCAUGAUGUGUGGCGGGAGUUGUUGUGCAUUGUGUUUUGUAGGUGUCAUCAUGGUACAAUCAUGAUGUCGGCAGCCCAACCUGUUCCUCCAUAUAUGAAGGGGUCAUCAUUAAGGAUGGUGUUGCACUCGCUAGAGACAUUGCUUGUGGCGGCCAACGAGAUGUCACCGGGGUGGAACCAUGAAUUUAUUUUUUUCAUUGUUAAGGGGAAAGGCCAACAAUUCAAAUUUUUUUCAAAAAAAUUUAAUCGGAUAUAAAAUUUUCAAUGGAAAAUUGCUAACAGGGAUGUUCCUCCAUGUUGUGGUGAAGGUCAUGGUGAGACAGCUCGAGGUGCUUGCUGCACGAGCAACCCGGGCUGAGCACGCUAGCUAAAACAUAACUGAUCAUGGAAUCUCGAUGUACGAUGGCUACUGAUAUAUGUACUCCUACCAGAUGACGGCUCAGUAGCACCAGCCUUCGUGUGACUAUAUAGAAUUGCACGCGUAGAACACGAGCUCUUUUCCAAGUGCACGAAUUGCCGGCAGCAAAUGUCGGUCACGACGAUACGGUGGUUACGAGAUCGCAUUCAAGCUGAGCGGCAAGUGAAGUGAGCAUGGCGUAUUGGCGUGGCGAGGCAUCAUCCAUCUACACACAGAGGACGGGCCUAGGAGGAACCUGGCUUGGGCCGGUAGUAGGCCGCGGCGAAAAACAUCUCGAUCAAGUGGACCCAUCCAUAGCAAGGCCUACUUCAGUCGGCCCGUCGCCUCUGAAGCCCACAAUACUCGCGUGCAUUCUGGUUCUGUUUGGCCCAGUGCCCGCUUCCAGAACUUUGGGCAUUAGCGUAACACUAACACGAAAGUGUACAAUCCAGUGAUUCCUUCCAGUCAGAUUGUUGAUAACUCAGGAUGGAUGGAUGUUGUGGAUACGAGCCCAGCGCGUAAGCAGCAAAGAUAGAUUCAACGCAAUUGCACGAGCACUCAAUUACGGAAGGAAGCACGCAAUACUUUCUUAUGAAAUUAUAAUCGACGCACACGGAGUUCUUGUUGAUAUCUUAUUAAAGGAAAUCAAGGCACACUCUUACCGUAAGUGCACAAGCAUACACGUAGUCUGGCUCGGACGCAAAGCAACCUGGAAUGUAGGUACAUAUGUGUUCGGAAAAUCAAAUGCACAUGCAGCAGGCAUUCACCGGCGACGCACGAUUCCCACCAUGUCAAAAGGAGAGCCCAGAUCCUUUCAGUUUCUCCUCAACGAUGCAGUCCAGCUUCCUCGCCAUCUCUUCCGUCAAGUGGUUCUUCCAAUCCCCAACCUUCCCAGACCUGAAAAACGAAGCGUUCUCCAUCGGCAGCCCGCCAACCCGAUCAGACACUCCCGUGGAGUUUACCGGCAGGCUCUUGAGGUUCUCGAAGCUGCACAGCCUCACCACCUCCUCCACCACUCCAGCACUCUCCUCCUCCUCAGUGAAUGGAACACCAAGAAACUCAGCGAGCAUCUUCACAUGCUCAGCAGGGUUAGCCAUCAUCUCAUCGUACUUCAAGAAAAGAACUCUUCCCGGCUCUUCCAUGCUCCACUUCCAAUACCCAAG